GAGAGCAUGACUUUUGCUUCUGGUUCACACACGCACGCACACCCGGGCAUUCUCGAUCCGAACUCGACGUUCUUCACAACGGCAGAGACACGAACAUCGAACAAACCCAGAACAAAGUCGAAGAAGAUCAAGAGAAGUAAAUAAGAGGCCUUGCGUUCGUACUGUUGUGUUGUUUGGAGCUGCAGAGAAUCGGAGACAUGGAGUCAUUCGACGCCAUGGACACCGAAGCCGAAGAGCACCCCCACGACCCGGACUCGCAGGACCACCGCUCGAGCCCUUUCCACGACGACGCCUUCAUGGGCUACGACCCUGCUUUCGCCCCCUCCGAUGACGUCUUCGCCAGUGUUCCCCCUCCCUCUGCUGAGGAGGGCGACGUCUUCGGGGACGUCGGUGGUGGCGGGUACGGCGACAGCCAGGCAUCGCCUGAGGUCUACGGGUUUGGCGUAUCGACCCCGAAUCCGGAUUUCGUCUCGCCCUUCGAGUCGGUGAUGAACGGAGUAGAGGAGGAGGAGGAGGGUGGUGGAGGUCGUUUUGUGUCGGAUGGGCCUCUGUUGCCUCCGCCAAGUGAGAUGGUCGAGGAAGGUGCCGCUCGACGUGAGUGGAGGCGUCAAAACGCCAUACAACUCGAGGAAAAGGAGAAGAGGGAGAAGGAGAUGCGGGAUCAGAUUAUUGCCGAAGCUGACGAGUAUAUACAAGCUUUCUACGAGAAAAGGAAGCUCAACUGCGAAACAAACAAGGCCAAUAACAGAGAAAGAGAGAAGCUGUACUUGGCCAACCAAGAGCAGUUCCACAAGGAAGCCGACAAGCAUUACUGGAAAGCCAUAGCUGAGAUCAUCCCUCGAGAAGUUCCAAACAUUGAGAAGAGAGGGAAGAGGGACGCCGAGAAAAAGCCCUCGGUUGUGGUCGUUCAGGGGCCUAAGCCAGGAAAGCCCACCGAUCUUUCGAGGAUGAGGCAAGUUUUGUUCAAGCUGAAACAGCACCCUCCACCUCACAUGAUGCCUCCCCCACCGCCACCGCCCACGAAAGAUGGGAAGGAGAAGGACUCAAAGGAAGGGAGCAAGGACAAAAAGAGUGAGAAAAUUCCUACAGAUGCCACAUCUGGUGAUGUUCCUGGCAGUGCUGCAGAGAAACCGGCUGCAGAGAAGCCAGCGGCCCCUCCCAAAGUCGCCCCCGAUGGUGGCAACCCUGAGAAAGCAGAGGUUCCCGAAGCCCCCAAGGGAGAAAAAGCAGCUGAAUCGGGGGCAGCCGCUGCCGAGUGAUGCAACUUUUCCAGGAUAGCACCUUUUCAAGCGCUCUCGAGCAAUGUCAAGCGCCGUGAAGCAUGUCUUGGUCACCACCUUGAGAUCGACUCUUGUAUCCCUCGUGAGAAGGAACAAACCCCCAGAUUACCGAUACAUUGUGGCCAAGUGGAGAGGUACUCACUCAGACACCACGAAAGUAGAUCCUUGACUGUCCCAAGCUGAUUCAUCUUGCAAGCGACGUGAAUCGGAAAAUUGCCAUCUCUGUCAUACUCGAGAGCGCUGGUGGUGAAUUUUCUCAGCAAAAGCUGGACUCCGUCACCGUGAUCAAGAUAUGCUGCUGAAUGUAGCUGCAUCUCUCAAAUGGAAAAGCUCCUCCUUCCUUUCUGCCAUCUCUUUCAGCAGACAUUAAAGGCGCUGAGGAUCCCAACGACCAUGACUCAUGGUUUACUUUCUUAGGUGAUAAUGAAUUUGCUGGACUUAUGCUAAAAA